rnacentral:rRNA from 1 species
AGCCAUUAGAUAACCAAGUACUAAAGGUAACGCCUGCCCAGUGAAAUUACUUUAAACGGCCGCGAUUUAAACGUGCGAAGGUAGCGCAAUCACUUGUUCCAUAAAUUGGGACCCGUAUGAAUGGCCACAUGAGAAAGAGACUGUCUCUUGAAGAUAGCCAGUGAAACUGAUCUUCCUGUAAAAAAGCAGGAAUGAAAAAGCCGGACAAAAAGACCCUGUGAAACUUAAAACAAAGCAUUAAACCAAAUAAUGCCUGACUUUUAGUUGGGGCAACUUAAGAAACACAAAACAUCUUACAACAUCCAAACCAACAAGUUUAGACACACAAAGGACCCGGUAACACCGAUCAAUGAACCAAGCUACUCCAGGGAUAACAGCGCUAAAUUCUUUAAGAGUCCAUAUCAACAAGAAUUCUUACGACCUCGAUGUUGGAUCAGGAUACCCAAACAGUGCAGAAGCUGUUAACGGUUCGUUUGUUCAACGACUAAAAUCCU